rnacentral:snoRNA from 1 species
CACCUCUCAGGGUCACACCUGGCGAGUCUACCAGUCUCGAUUACGGGAGGGAGAGUCAAGCAGAGGCCUUACCCAUUCCAUUCCUAGCUUGGGCAGUGGCUAGCGAGUGGAAGACAAUCUGCUACAAGU